AGAAUCAACGCUGGCGGCGUGCCUAACACAUGCAAGUCGCACGAGAAAGUGGAGCAAUCCACGAGUACAGUGGCGCACGGGUGAGUAACACGUGACUUAUCUACCUCCGAGUGGGGAAUAACUGAGAGAAAUCUUAGCUAAUACCGCAUAACACUUACGAGUCAAAGCAGCAAUGCGCUUGGAGAGGAGGUCGCGGCCGAUUAGCUAGUUGGCGGGUAAUGGCCCACAAGGCGAUGAUCGGUA
rnacentral:rRNA from 1 species